GGGGCCCUGCCCCGGGCACCCGCUGCGCCUCUGGCCAGUGGCCCGUCCCGCCGUGCGCUCUAGGGGCCGUGCCGCGGAGCGCCGCCAGCGGGGCCCGGCCGGCUGCCGCCCAGCCCCGCCGGUUGACGAGCUGCCUGUGCGCACAGGAGCGGCGGUGGGAAGGCAGCAGCGUGGCCCGCGGCCUCUGUGCUGCGCCCUCGCGGGGAGGCCUCGGCGCUGAGCUGUCGGGAGUGACUGCAGCGAAACCAGCACGCGUGAAAAACAGGCGGGUUUCCAGGGGUUAAAAGUAGCAAUCAAGGAAAAGGAAGGCGGAAUGUAACCGUUAUUCCAGUUCUGACAAUAGAAAGAUGGAUAGAUCUACUUCCUCAUCAACUUCAUCUGCCUGCCGAUUCUCAAGGCACUAAAAAUUCAUUAAAUUUGAAUUAGACAACAUCUAGAGAAUAUUUAGCUGUUUGUUCCGAACAACUACAACGUGGACUGACUGGAUCCGUGGGAAGGACAGCUAUCUCCCCACUUACUUCAGCAAAUGGGAUUUUUUCAGGAACGGUGAGCACGGGAUAGAGCAUCUAGGCAAAUCUCAGUGGAAGGGCAGAAGUUAAUGAGAAACCUUGCCUACCGCCAGUUGCCUCCACAGCCCGCCUGUUGCCUGUUUCAAUUAACAGCUCGCCUUCCUGCUUUUAGCCAGUUCUUUUAAGGCCACUCAGUACUACAGGCAUUGUUGCUGAACGUCAUGCUGCUGCUUCAUACCGCAGGAGUGUGGUAACUUCACUUGAUUUCCCUUAUUCCUGGAAAAAAAAUAAAAAUAAAGCCAAUCGAUUUCAAACGAAA